UAAUGCUUCCAAACUGUAGAGGCUAAUGUCAAGGUGGGGAAGAAGUUGCUUGAUCUUUUCCGUACUGGGCGUCUCGGGUAUUAUACAUUAGAUCUUC